rnacentral:rRNA from 1 species
UACCAGCACCCCGAGUGGUCGGGGCGUUUAUUGGGCCUAAAGCAUCCGUAGCCGGUUCUACAAGUCUUCCGUUAAAUCCACCUGCUUAACAGAUGGGCUGCGGAAGAUACUAUGGAGCUAGGAGGCGGGAGAGGCAAGCGGUACUCGAUGGGUAGGGGUAAAAUCCGUUGAUCCAUUGAAGACCACGAGUGGCGAAGGCGGCUUGCCAGAACGCGCUCGACGGUGAGGGAUGAAAGCUGGGGGAGCAAACCGG